CCUACGGGUGGCAGCAGUGAGGAAUAUUGGUCAAUGGGCUUACGCCUGAACCAGCCAAGUCGCGUGAGGGAAAAAUGCUCUAUGGGUUGUAAACCUCUUUUGUCAGGGAGCAACGCCGGCUACGUGUAGCCCGACUGAGAGUACUUGAAGAAAAAGCAUCGGCUAACUCCGUGCCAGCAGCCGCGGUAAUACGGGGGAUGCGAGCGUUAUCUGGAUUGUUGGGGUUAAAAGGUUGCGUGGGCGGAAUGCAAAGUCAGCGGUAAAGUCGCGGGGCUCAACCUCGCUCCGCCGUUGAAACUGGCGUUCUUGAGUGUGCGAGAGGUAUGCGGAAUGCGUGGUGUAGCGGUGAAAUGCAUAGAUAUCACGCAGAACUCCGAUUGCGAAGGCAGCAUACCGGCGCCCAACUGACGCUGAAGCACGAAAGCGUGGGGAUCGAACAGGAUUAGAUACCCGUGUAGUC
rnacentral:rRNA from 1 species